rnacentral:rRNA from 1 species
UUUGUGGAGGGUUCGAUUCUGGCUCAGGAUGAACGCUGGCGGCGUGCUUAACACAUGCAAGUCGAACGGGAUCCAUCAGGCUUUGCUUGGUGGUGAGAGUGGCGAACGGGUGAGUAAUGCGUGACCGACCUGCCCCAUACACCGGAAUAGCUCCUGGAAACGGGUGGUAAUGCCGGAUGCUCCGACUCCUCGCAUGGGGUGUCGGGAAAGAUUUCAUCGGUAUGGGAUGGGGUCGCGUCCUAUCAGGUAGUCGGCGGGGUAACGGCCCACCGAGCCUACGACGGGUAGCCGGCCUGAGAGGGCGACCGGCCACAUUGGGACUGAGAUACGGCCCAGACUCCUACGGGAGGCAGCAGUGGGGAAUAUUGCACAAUGGGCGCAAGCCUGAUGCAGCGACGCCGCGUGCGGGAUGACGGCCUUCGGGUUGUAAACCGCUUUUGAUCGGGAGCAAGCCUUCGGGUGAGUGUACCUUUCGAAUAAGCACCGGCUAACUACGUGCCAGCAGCCGCGGUAAUACGUAGGGUGCAAGCGUUAUCCGGAAUUAUUGGGCGUAAAGGGCUCGUAGGCGGUUCGUCGCGUCCGGUGUGAAAGUCCAUCGCUUAACGGUGGAUCUGCGCCGGGUACGGGCGGGCUGGAGUGCGGUAGGGGAGACUGGAAUUCCCGGUGUAACGGUGGAAUGUGUAGAUAUCGGGAAGAACACCAAUGGCGAAGGCAGGUCUCUGGGCCGUUACUGACGCUGAGGAGCGAAAGCGUGGGGAGCGAACAGGAUUAGAUACCCUGGUAGUCCACGCCGUAAACGGUGGAUGCUGGAUGUGGGGCCCGUUCCACGGGUUCCGUGUCGGAGCUAACGCGUUAAGCAUCCCGCCUGGGGAGUACGGCCGCAAGGCUAAAACUCAAAGAAAUUGACGGGGGCCCGCACAAGCGGCGGAGCAUGCGGAUUAAUUCGAUGCAACGCGAAGAACCUUACCUGGGCUUGACAUGUUCCCGAC